rnacentral:rRNA from 1 species
UACGGGGGGGGCAAGCGUUGUUCGGAAUUACUGGGCGUAAAGGGCGCGUAGGCGGCAAUUCAAGUCAUCUGUGAAAUCUCCGGGCUUAACUCGGAACGGUCAGAUGAUACUGCUUUGCUAGAGUGCAGAAGGGGCAAUCGGAAUUCUCGGUGUAGCGGUGAAAUGCGUAGAUAUCGAGAGGAACACCAGAGGUGAAGACGGGUUGCUGGGCUGACACUGACGCUGAGGCGCGGAAGCCAGGGGAGCAAACGGG